UGUCAUUUAUUAGCAUUGAUAAGUCUUUCAAGAGCACAGAUAGACUUGUAUUGUCACUAUCCUUGAUGUUUCUGUACCGCGGCUGAAAGUAUUAUGAUGACAUUACAUAUUGUUUUGUUUAGUUUUAGUUGUUUUGGAUGCUCCUUCAGAGUUGAAUAUAAUUUACUUCCUAGUUCAAACCUCCCGCAAGAUGACGGGGGAUGGGAGCGGGCA